UACGUAGGGUGCAAGCGUUGUCCGGAUUUAUUGGGCGUAAAGAGCUCGUAGGCGGUCUGUCGCGUCGGAUGUGAAAACCCAGGGCUCAACCCUGGGCCUGCAUUCGAUACGGGCAGACUAGAGUGUGGCAGGGGAGACUGGAAUUCCCGGUGUAGCGGUGAAAUGCGCAGAUAUCGGGAGGAACACCGGUGGCGAAGGCGGUUCUCUGGGCCUGUUCUGACGCUGAGGAGCGAAAGCGUGGGGAGCGAACAGG
rnacentral:rRNA from 1 species